UGCGCAGGUGGCUUCUGGGAGCCAAGGCAACAGAGAUUUUCCCAGGCUCCUGAGCGUGUUCCCUACUUUGGUGGCAACGAUGGUUCCAGUGUCCCGCUCUGCGGUCCGGAGACGGAGGCGUCGGGAUCCGAGGGGAAGCGUCGCAGUUGUUCGUGAAAGAGCGCGGAGCCGGGCAAAUCCGCCGGUGCGCUGUGGGGCCGCGGCUCUCGCUCGCACUCUUGCUGGCUGCGCGGGCCCUGGAAUGGCCAGCGCCGUCAGGGGAGUGGCCCCGACCGAGGAUUCCCCCACACCAGCCCUGCAGAUGCCGUUCGCUCUCCCGCUCUCCAGAGAGGCUCCCCCCCACCCCCCCCCCCGCCAACUUCGCUUCUGCCUCCUGGUCCGCUCCUUGCGCCCCUCCGGGAGCGACCAUCCGCGCGGCCUGGCCUCCGGGACGGGGAGAGGGAGGAGAUUGACUGAUCACACUCUAAACUAGGAACUCGGAAGCACCACACCCGCAGACCCUAAUGAAAGCCCAUACCCCAGGCCCUGUCUCCAUCUGCACUCUGCUUUGACCUCCUUGUGUGGCCUCUGGAGGCAUUCCCUGUACUUCCUCCAGGUCUUAGGAAAGGCCAUGUAAGGACACAGGGAGAAGUUGCCAAUCUACAGGCCAAGAAGAGAGGUCUACCAGAAUUCAGUUCUGAUGGCACCUUGAUCUUCAUCUACUAACCUCCAGAAUGAGAGAGACACAGCGAGACAGGGAACACAGGCAGGGGGAGUGGAAGUGGGAGAAGCAGG